CCGUAGGGUGACCUGCGGAGGGAUCAUUA
rnacentral:rRNA from 1 species